rnacentral:rRNA from 1 species
UACGUAGGAUGCAAGCGUUGUCCGGAAUUAUUGGGCGUAAAGAGCGCGCAGGCGGUAUGACAAGUCAGAUGUGAAAGAGGCCGGCUUAACCGGCAAGGGUCAUUUGAAACUGUCAGACUAGAGUGCAGCAGAGGAUAGUGGAAUUCCCGGUGUAGUGGUGAAAUGCGUAGAUAUCAGGAGGAACACCGGUGGCGAAGGCGGGUCUCUGGGCCGAUACUGACGCUGAGGAGCGAAAGCGUGGGGAGCGAACAGG